rnacentral:rRNA from 1 species
GAUGAACGUUGGCGGCGUGGAUUAGGCAUGCAAGUCGUGCGGAAAGGCUCCUUCGGGAGUACUCGAGCGGCGUAAGGGAGAGUAACGCGUGGAUAGCUACCCCCUGGACUGGGAUAGCGGCGGGAAACUGCCGGUAAUACCAGAUAAUUUCUGCGGACCAAAGGUGUGAUUCCGCCGGGGGAUGAGUUCGCGUCCUAUUAGCUAGUUGGUAGGGUAAUGGCCUACCAAGGCAAAGAUGGGUACCGGGGGUGAGAGCAUGGCCCGGCUCACUGGGACUGAGACACUGCCCAGACACCUACGGGUGGCUGCAGUCGAGAAUCUUCGGCAAUGGGCGCAAGCCUGACCGAGCGACGCCGCGUGCGGGAUGAAGGCCUUCGGGUUGUAAACCGCUGUCAGAGGGGAGGAAAUGCGUGGGAGUUCUCUCUCACGUUUGACCUAUCCUCAGAGGAAGUACGGGCUAAGUUCGUGCCAGCCGCCGCCGUAAGAC